GAUUGAGAGGGGUGGGAGAAAAUCAUUGAAAGAAGUGAGAGCAUGCAUACCCAUGAUUGAGAUAAUCAUUGAGAGAGGUGAGAGAAAAUCAUUGAGAGAGGUGAGAUAAAAUCAUUGAUACAGGUGGGAGAAAAUCAUUGAGACAGGUGGGAGAAAAUCAUUGAGAGAGGUGAGAGAAAAUCAUUGAGAGAGGUGAGGGAAAAUCAUUGAGAGAGGUGAGAGAAAAUCAUUGAGAGAGGUGAGAGAAAAUCAUUGAGAGAGGUUAGAGCAUGCAUACCCAUGGUGUAGAAAAUCAUUAAGAGAGGUGAGAGAAAAUCAUUGAUAGAGGUGAGAGAAAAUCAUUGAGAGAGGUGAGAGAAUAUCAUUGAGAGGUGAGAUAAAAUCAUUGAGAGAGGUGAGAGAAAAUCAUUUAGAGAGGUAAGAGAAAAUCAUUGAGAGAUGUGAGAGAAAAUCAUUGAGAGAGGUGAGAGAAAAUCAUUGAGAGAGGCGAGAGAAAAUCAUUGAGAGAGGUGAGAGAAAAUCAUUGAGAGAGGCAGGAGAAAAUCAUUGAGAGAGGUUAUAGAAAAUCAUUGAGAGAGGUGAGAGCAUGCAUACCCAUGGUCAAGAAAAUAAUUGAGAGAGGUUAGAGGAAAUCAUUGAGAGAGGUGAGAGAAAAUCAUUGAGAGAGGUGAGAGAAAAUCAUUGAGAGAGGCGAGAGAAAAUCAUUGAGAAAGGCAAGAGAAAAUCAUUGAGAGAGGCGAGAGAAAAUCAUUGAGAGAGGUGAGGGAAAAUCAUUGAGAGAGGUGAGAGAAAAUCAUUGAGAGAGUCGAGAGAAAAUCCUUGAGAGAGGUUAGGCCUGUCAGGGGUGGGAAUUUUACACAUUUCAGCUGAUUACACUCUGAUCUUUCUCUCGUUUAAGCUGAUUUGGUUCCCUUCUUCUUAUCUGAUUUCCCUCAUUUUCAGCCGAUUCCCCUUCUUUCAGCUGAUUUUCUCUCCUUUAAGCUUAUCCCCUCCCCCUUUGAUCUGAAUUUAUUUCCUCUCCUUUCAGCUGAUUUUCACUCCUUUCAAUUUAUUUCUCCUCCUUUCAGCCAAUUUUGUAUGUCCCCUUCUUUGAAGUAGAGGGGGUAUAUUGUUUUUGGCCUGUCAUUCUGUCCCAAAACUUAUACCAUGGUUAAAGUUUAAUAACUUUUGCAAUAUUUAAGAUAGCAACUUCAUAUUUGGCAUGCGUGUAUCUCAUGGAGCUGUACAUUUUGAGUGGUGAAAAGUCAAGGUCAAGGUCAACGGUCAAAUUGUAUUUUUUUUUCCUAAAACUAAACCCUUCGUUCAAGUUUGGUCAUAACUUUUUGAAUAUUGAAGAUAGCAACUUGAUAUUUGGCAUGCAUGUGUAUCUCAUAAAGCGGCACAUUUGGAGUGGUGAAAGGUCAAGGUCAUCCUUCAAGAUCAAAAGUAAAAAAAUACAAUCCAAGGGAAGUAAUAAGCUUUAAAAGGGAGAUAAUUUCUAAACCUGCCAUAUGAAAUUUUAUUUCAAAGCGGCGCAAUAGGGGGCAUUGUGUUUCUGACAAACACAUCUCUUGUCUUCCUUCAGCUGACUUCCUCUUACUGGGAUUUACAUCAUACACUUUGAUUGCAGUGCAGUUAUGUUGUGAAAUAACAAUAUUGACCGUUCAGAAUAUGUAUGCACGCCAUUCAGUGUUAUUACAUAUUUUCACUUGCCAAUUAGUGUCUAACUUUCAGUUUGCGUCUUAUAUGACUCAGCCCAUGAUUUCGAAUACAAAGUGCAAAAACGUAAACAAAGUCAUUUUUAUGCCACGAAGGAGGGCAUAUAGUGAUCGCACUGUCCGUCUGUCAGUCCGUCUGUUUGUCUGUCCGUCUCACUUUGCGUUUAGGUUUAGAAAAAUGCUCAUAACUUCUAUGUCACUUCAAAUGUAACAUUGAUAUUUGGUAUGCAUGUGUAUAUGGACAAGGCCUUUCCAUACGCACACACAUUUUGACCUCUUUGACCUUGACCUUGAACUAAGGUCCACAUUUAGGUUUCAAAAAAUGUGUUUAGGUUUCGACAAAUGCUCAUAACUUCUAUCAAAGCGUUUAUCGGGGGCUUAUGUCAUCCUAUGGAGACAGCUCUUGUUCAUUAAUUUAUUCACUCAUUUUAAUUGAUAUUGUAACUGCUUUUACCUUGUUCUAACCUUCCAUUUACUACUAUUCAGUAUGUCAACAAGAACCUUUAUAAGCCUAAAUAAUAAGAUGUAGUAUUAUGGAAAAACAAACAUGGCAACUAUAGUGAAUAUUUGCAAUUGCGCGAUUAAAUUUUCGCAAUUAACACCUCUUUUUAUUGGCAAGUAUUUUAUUAUUUAUUGUCGUUUAAAUAAAUGCACCCCAAUGUAAUUUGCUUUGUGCUAGGUCGCAUUUAUUUAAAAACUGUGUCGACACUCCUAUAAAUUAUUGAUAUAAAUAAAGCCUUGUUCUGGGACAACUUGGUUUAAUGCAAAUCAGGGACAACACUUUUCGCUAUUCGUAUUGUUUGUUUAAAGGACGUCUUUUCUUAGCAAAAAUCCUGUUAAGGCAAACUGCACAGGCUAACCUGGGAAAACACUUUAUGCACAUGCAUUAAACCCAGUUAUUCCAGAAAAAGACUAAUUUUUAUU